CCCAUUCGAAAUUGAAAAAUGCAAAUCAUUGUUCCUUACAUCAAUAUGAUAGAAUGUUUGGAGCUUAAAUCAUUAAAAAUCAAAUGAUUACAAACGGAGGAUUAUUCUAAAAGUAUUUUAGAACCAAGAAAAUUGCAAACAUAGCUAGCAAGUAUAUAGCUACAAAAAGGUAUUCCACUUCAGGUUAAUAAUGAUUGCAGGCGAGAAGUUUUAGGAUAAAUAGUAAGUUCAUUGCAAAGAACCAAAAAAAAUGGGGAGCCGAAUCUCCAGUCUAGGAAAAUAUACAUGGGAGCAUUAAAAAAUGACAAUAAGAGUUAAUAUCUAAACUAUAACUUACCAAUAAACUCUAAAGAUCCCUGAAAAUGUAGAGCAAGAUAAACUGCAUACCACUAAAACAUAUCUACAAGAUCCACACUUGAUACUAGAUGCAUAUCUAAACCCUCAAAAAUCCACAAUUCUUAUCAAGCCAUGCACCCAGAGGAACAUUUGAACUAUCAUCCACACAAGAAAAUCAAACCUCUUCCUUCAAUUCUCAUUCGAUUUGAAUACAAGUCCAUCCACGUUUGUAUGACCCAACAAAUAUCCAAAACAGAAAGAAAAUGAAGAAGAAAAAGAAGCAUAGACCUUCAACACAAUUGGAUUAAGAAGAGGACGAGAAAUGAUGUACAAAAUCAAUGGUUUCCCCAUCCUGUUUCAAAUAUAACGCAGAGUAAUCACAAAUUGCUUACUCUUUACUAAAAGGAAACUCUAAAACAGUUCCAAGAAAAAAUUGUAGUUCCACUCUUACUUAAAGAUAUGAAUAAAGAAUUGAACUCAAACUAGGUUGCUCCUGAAGGUUUUCAACUAAAACUUUCCUCUGACUCAAAGUCAUGCGAAAGGAUAUUCCCUUCCCCUCUGUGAAACUUCAAUUUAAUGCUUUCAAUUAGAUCUUCAUACUCCAAAGGGUAGUUGCUAUACAUAAUUAGAUCAAUUAAAUAUUUGCCAAUAUCUCACUACUCCAACAUCCAUAUAGGCCCAACAGUGCACAACACUACAACAUUUCACUCACUAUGCUCAUAAACCAUCAACAAAACCUCAAAGUAACAGUAGGUUCUUUUAUACAAAAUGGUUGACCUAGACAUCACUGUCAUGAUUUUUGCCAGUGAACUGCCAAAGGUACCAGAAAUUACCUUAUUCAAUAAUGACACAUAUUCAAACAAACCAGUCACAAGGAUAGGAGAUGGAGGAAAUAUGAAACUUGACAGCACUACAACAUUUCACCCACUAUGUUUAAAAAAUCCUGCAUUUUCAUGCCUAUACACUAAUUAUUAAUCUGAUGUCUAUUGAUUCACAUAUAUUUCUCUAUCAAAAUCUAAAUCACCUGAUGAAAGUUUCUUUCUAUCAGUUGCAUAAUUAUUAACAUAUCAAUUUUCAUAACAUAAUAUAUUCCCAAUUUCUACUUCUUCCUCCCAAUUUCUAUUUUACAACCAAACCUAACAUUCUAUGCCUAUUUUUACUUGUUCAUGCGUACCCAAUCAAUUACCGUCUACUAUUUAUACACAUGGACUCAAAUUAAGAGCCACAUAUAAAUAUUCACAGUCAAUACAUACCUCAAUGUCGUAUUAAGACUCCUGCAGACAACUGAUUGCUACGAAAUUGCGAGCAAAUAUGACCUCCAAAUAUAACUCUCCACAGAAUUCGCUACAGUUUAUCUCUGCUCACUUUACUCCAGCACCACUCAAAUGGUUGUUUUUUAACCUACAUGACAGCAAAUGACGACAACUUCUAACCUAACGGCGUAACUUAUUCAUCAAUUAAAUCCCCAGUUUGCGCCACAAUACCCGUAAUCUGCUUUCUACCCACUCACCCUCUAAUUCAAUAAUUUUUUUUCCAAACCCCAACCUAAGAAAACUAACUGGCCCACUAAUUCAAGCUUCUAAAAACAGUAUGAAUAUCACUGCACACUUCAGCCGUGGGGAGAAAGACGGUCAUUACAAUUUCUUUUUUGUUUUACUGGUACUAUUCUUCUACCCGGUUACCCAUUUUCAAACUGUUAAAUCUCAACCAUCAAGUGUAUUUGCUACCAAUUCGCUAUAGGACAAAAGACUGGGGUAUCAAACCCCUGACGCAAAGUAGCUGGACCCAUUAGUUUAAUAUAUAAUUAAAUCAUAUAUUAACUACAUACAAUAUUUUAUGAUAAAUGUGAAUAUGAAUUUAAUCUCUUAUUGUUAGAUUGUAGUUAAUAUAUAUUUUUUCAAAUUACUUGUUCAAUAUACAGUCAAUAGUUCCAAUAUAUAAUAAAAAUAUAUUAAUUUACCAAUUACUUAUGUGUGUUUUUUCAAUUGUUUAAUAAGAAUGUAUCAAAAAGUGGAGUGCUUUUCAUUUAUUUUUACAUCUAAGAGUUUGAUGAACAAGUUUAGAAGUUCUUUAACAAGAAUUUAGAGUUAAAAAAGCCACUUUAUACUUCACACUUAUUCAGUAACUUUUUCCACGUCUCAGGUUCAAUAACUUUUGAGUUAGGGAUAGAAUUCAAUAUUGUUAAUUGGUAGAGAUAUGGAGCGGAAUCCAGUGGGCAUGUAAACAAUUUAACCAAUUUUUUUUUAUAUUAUCUUAUAUUAAUUUAUUUGGUAAGAAUAAAAAAUUAUUUUAUAAAUGCUAUACUUAACAUUCAGGUAGAUGUAUAGAGUAAAUUUUCUUUUUAAAAUUUUGAUGAUGAGUGUAUGAAUUAAUAAUUAAAAAAAUAACCUACCCUUUGAUUUAAGUUUGAAAAUUAAAACAAGUCAAAAUUUAGGACUUUCUGACUGUUUUUUAAUUUUAUAAUAAAACAUAGAUUUGCAGUGUAAUUAAUUUAGAAAGAGACAAAAAUAUGGAGUAUGUUACCACUGUAGUAAGAUAGCUGGAAGCAUAUAAUUGAUAUUUCUCUUGUACAUCACUGAUGAUAUCGUAUUGUUCCCCUUUUAUCGCCUUAUCACGUGCAUAUCUGUUCUUUCACCCAAUCUUUUGUCGCAUAGUAAAAUAACAUAAAUUCAUUCGUAUAAACAUUUGACUCUAUAACCCAAAAAUCGUUUAACCCCAAAAUUUUAAGCCAACAGAUUAGUACUUUUUUUUUUUUUUUUUUGUUAAAGGAAAUAGAUAAGUACAUUAAGAUAAAAACAUCACGUAAUUAUAAAGUAGUGCAAAAUAUGAUUAUUAUGAAGCUUUUCAUUUACGACAAGUGCUUUGAGUCAGAACUUCCAAUCAAUACUCUACACGUGUCCAUCAUGACUCCACCAAUUCUACCUUCUCAUUUGCCGUUGCCGUCUUCUCCACUAAUUCCUUAACUCUGUGGACUGACUUCGACUUGCUGCUGGUUAUAAUCUCGACACUUCUCCUUCUUACUUCAUCAACGAAAGCCUGAAUGUUCGUAUCCGACGAGCCACCAUCGGCCACAGCUUCCUCCGCCUCCUUCUUCCACUUCAGCGCGUUCUCCUUCAGCUCCGCCUCCUUAGGUCCGGCCGUGGCCUCGAGCAAGCACUUCUCCACUUCAUCCCUUGAAAUUAUCCUGUUCUCU
rnacentral:lncRNA from 1 species